rnacentral:rRNA from 1 species
GGGUCAGUAGGUUGGUCGUGCCACCGGUACGUACUGGUCUCACUGAUUCCUCCCUCCUGAAGAACCGUAAUGCCAUUAAUUUGGUGUUGCGGGGAAACAGGACUGUUACUUUGAAAAAUUUAGAGUGUUUAAAGCAAGCUAACGCUUGAAUACAUUAGCAUGGAAUAAUGAAAUAGGACGAUCGAUCCUAUUUUGUUGGUUUCUAGGAUUGACGUA